UACGUAGGGGGCAAGCGUUGUCCGGAUUUACUGGGUGUAAAGGGCGCGUAGGCGGGCUUGUUAGUCAGAGGUGAAAUCCUGCGGCUUAACCGUAGAAUUGCCUUUGAUACUGCAAGCCUUGAGUUCGGAAGAGAGAGAUGGAAUUCCAGGUGUAGUGGUGAAAUACGUAGAUAUCUGGAAGAACACCAGUGGCGAAGGCGGUCUCUUGGUCCGUAACUGACGCUGAGGCG
rnacentral:rRNA from 1 species